rnacentral:rRNA from 1 species
UCAGGUGGCCGCAGAGAAUAGGCCCAAGCGACUGUUUACCAAAAACAUAGGUUUCUGCUAAGUCGCAAGACGAUGUAUAGGAGCUGACGCCUGCCCGGUGCUGGAAGGUUAAGGGGAUCUGUUAGAGCAAUCGAAGCAGUGAACUUAAGCCCCAGUAAACGGCGGCCGUAACUAUAACGGUCCUAAGGUAGCGAAAUUCCUUGUCGGGUAAGUUCCGACCCGAACGAAAGGCGUAACGAUUUGGGCACUGUCUCAACAACAGACUCGGUGAAAUUGUAAUUCCGGUGAAGAUGCCGGAUACCUGCGACAGGACGGAAAGACCCCAUGGAGCUUUACUGUAGCUUGACAUUGGGUCUUGGUACUACAUGUACAGGAUAGGUGGGAGGCUUUGAAACCAGGACGCCAGUUUUGGCGGAGCCAUCCUUGGGAUACCACCCUU